GGUGGGUUUCAUUCUUGUUUGUGGAGAUCUGACUUCUGAGAGAGUAUUCAAAUCUCUCUCUAUUUCUUUUUCCUUUUCUGGCUAGUGUUUCUUUUAGCCGUUUUACAGUUUAUACUCUUGCAGACAGAUUACACUUUUCUCUCUGAUUUUUGAUUGGGAGAGAGUACCCUUUUGCUUUAAACUGAAUCCAUUUCUUUAUCUUUCUUUCUCUCGGAAAAAUAAAUUCAGCUUCUGCAAGAAAAGAAAUUAAAAUUUUAUACAUUUUUAAUUCCUGGGUUUUCUUUCAUUAUUUCAUUUCUUUUUUCCAGUAAUUCAGAUAGAGAGCUGAGCCUGAAUUAUACAUGUUUCUUCAUUAAAGAUGAGAAUUAAGAUGCUAAGCAACACAGAUUGUAUUUAUCUUAGCUCUUUACUGUAAUUCCCAAGUGUGUUCAUCAAAUCAUUUCGAUCCCAUCAUUUCCAGCUUUUAGCUCUUUCCUUGAAUUUAUCUGGGUGAUGUUUAAUGUCUUAAUUAUGGACUGUGUGUUUAUUUUAUGUGCCAAGAAUUUGUUGAAUUUAAUUAAGAUGGGAUAAAAGAGAAAUUGUUUUUACUUUUGUUGGAAACUGUUGUUUU
rnacentral:misc_RNA from 1 species